AGAGUUUGAUCCUGGCUCAGGAUGAACGCUGGCGGCGUGCUUAACACAUGCAAGUCGAACGAAGCAUAGCGGAUGAAGUUUUCGGAUGGAUUUUGCUAUGACUUAGUGGCGGACGGGUGAGUAACGCGUGGGCAACCUGCCCUUAACCGGGGGACAACAGUUGGAAACGACUGCUAAUACCGCAUAAGCGCACGUGACCGCAUGGUCGAGUGUGAAAAAUUCCGGUGGUUAAGGAUGGGCCCGCGUUGGAUUAGGUAGUUGGUGAGGUAACGGCCCACCAAGCCGACGAUCCAUAGCCGACCUGAGAGGGUGACCGGCCACAUUGGGACUGAGACACGGCCCAGACUCCUACGGGAGGCAGCAGUGGGGAAUAUUGCACAAUGGGGGAAACCCUGAUGCAGCGACGCCGCGUGAGUGAAGAAGUAUUUCGGUAUGUAAAGCUCUAUCAGCAGGGAAGAAAAUGACGGUACCUGCACAAGAAGCCCCGGCUAACUACGUGCCAGCAGCCGCGGUAAUACGUAGGGGGCAAGCGUUAUCCGGAUUUACUGGGUGUAAAGGGAGCGCAGACGGUUAGGCAAGUCUGAUGUGAAAUGCGGGGGCUCAACUCUCGAACUGCAUUGGAAACUGUCCAACUAGAGUGCCGGAGGGGUAAGCGGAAUUCCUAGUGUAGCGGUGAAAUGCGUAGAUAUUAGGAGGAACACCAGUGGCGAAGGCGGCUUACUGGACGGUAACUGACGUUGAGGCUCGAAAGCGUGGGGAGCAAACCAGGAUUAGAUACCCUGGUAGUCCACGCGGUAAACGAUGAAUACUAGGUGUUGGGGUACAAAUAACCUCGGUGCCGUCGCAAACCCAAUAAUAUUCCCCCUGGGGAGUACGUUCGCCAGAAUGAACUCAAAGGAAUUGACGGGGGCCCGCGCACAGCAAGUGGAGUAUGUGGUUAAUUUGAAGCAACGCGAAGAAACCUUACCGGGGUCUUGACAUCGAGUGACGAGCUAAGAGAUUAGCUUUCCUUUCGAGGGCACGAAGACAGGUGGUGCAUGGUUGUCGUCAGCUCGUGUCGUGAGAUGUUGGGUUAAGUCCCGCAACGAGCGCAACCCUUACCAUUAGUUGCUACGCAAGAGCACUCUAAUGGGACUGCCGUUGACAAAACGGAGGAAGGUGGGGAUGACGUCAAAUCAUCAUGCCACUUAUGACCUGGGCUACACACGUACUACAAUGGCAAUUAACAAAGAGCAGCAAAGCCGCGAGGUGGAGCGAAUCUCCAAAAAUUGUCCCAGUUCAGAUUGCAGGCUGCAACUCGCCUGCAUGAAGUCGGAAUUGCUAGUAAUCGUAGAUCAGCAUGCUACGGUGAAUACGUUCCCGGGCCUUGCACUCACCGCCCGUCA
rnacentral:rRNA from 1 species